rnacentral:rRNA from 1 species
GACGUAGGGCGCGAGCGUUGUCCGGAUUUAUUGGGCGUAAAGAGCUCGUAGGCGGCUUGUUGCGUCGACUGUGAAAACCCGCGGCUUAACCGCGGGCCUGCAGUUGAUACGGGCAGGCUAGAGUUCGGUAGGGGAGACUGGAAUUCCUGGUGUAGCGGUGAAAUGCGCAGAUAUCAGGAGGAACACCGGUGGCGAAGGCGGCAUCCUGGACCAACACUGACGCUGAUGAGCGAAAGCCAGGGGAGCAAACGGG